GAUGAACGCUGGCGGCGUGCCUAAUACAUGCAAGUCGAACGCGCAGCGAAAGGUGCUUGCACCUUUCAAGCGAGUGGCGAACGGGUGAGUAACACGUGGAUAACCUGCCUCAAGGCUGGGGAUAACAUUUGGAAACAGAUGCUAAUACCGAAUAAAACUUAGUAUCGCAUGAUAUAAAGUUAAAAGGCGCUACGGCGUCACCUAGAGAUGGAUCCGCGGUGCAUUAGUUAGUUGGUGGGGUAAAGGCUUACCAAGAAAAUGAUGCAUAGCCGAGUUGAGGGACUGAUCGGCCACAUUGGGACUGAGACACGGCCCAAACUCCUACGGGAGGCUGCAGUAGGGAAUCUUCCACAAUGGGCGCAAGCCUGAUGGAGCAACGCCGCGUGUGUGAUGAAGGCUUUCGGGUCGUAAAGCACUGUUGUAUGGGAAGAAAUGCUAAAAUAGGGAAUGAUUUUAGUUUGACGGUACCAUACCAGAAAGGGACGGCUAAAUACGUGCCAGCCGCCGCCGUAA
rnacentral:rRNA from 1 species